rnacentral:snoRNA from 1 species
GGGUCCAUCCUAAUUCCUACAGGUUUAUGUUUGUAUCUGCUGGGUUUCGCUGGUGGACCAUAUUAAUUUGAGGACACACUCUUAAAAGCAAGCAAUUAUUGCUAGUCCAUAUGAGGAUGUUCUCAACAAUU